UACAGAGGUCCCAAGCGUUGUUCGGAUUCACUGGGCGUAAAGGGUGCGUAGGUGGCGAGGUAAGUCGGAUGUGAAAGCUCGGAGCUCAACUCCGAAAUGGCAUUGGAAACUACCUUGCUCGAGGGUUGGAGGGGGGGGACUGGAAUUCUCGGUGUAGCAGUGAAAUGCGUAGAUAUCGAGAGGAACACCAGUGGCGAAGGCGAGUCCCUGGACAACUCCUGACACUGAGGCACGAAAGCUAGGGGAGCAAACAGG
rnacentral:rRNA from 1 species